rnacentral:rRNA from 1 species
GAUGAACGCUAGCGGGAGGCUUAAUACAUGCAAGUCGCGGGGUAACAGUUCGGCUGACGACCGGCGCACGGGUGAGUAACGCGUACAAAUCUACCUUUAGGAAAGGGACAGCCCUGGGAAACUGGGAUUAAUACCUUAUAGUAUCGUAAGAUUAAAGCUUCGGCGCCUAAAGAUGAGUGUGCGUCCCAUUAGCUAGUUGGUAGGGUAAUAGCCUACCAAGGCUACGAUGGGUAGGGGGCGUGAGAGCGUGGACCCCCACACGGGUACUGAGACACGGACCCGACUCCUACGGGAGGCAGCAGUAAGGAAUAUUGGACAAUGGGCGCAAGCCUGAUCCAGCCAUCCCGCGUGCAGGAUGACGGCUCUAUGGGUUGUAAACUGCUUUUAUAAGAGAAGAAUAGCAUUAAUUUAUUAGUGUGUGACGGUAUCUUAUGAAUAAGCACCGGCUAACUCCG